GCCUGGGUGGCUCAGUCGGUUGAGCAUCUGACUUCGGCUCAGGUCAUGAUCUCGCGGUCCGUGAGUUCGAGCCCCGCGUCGGGCU
rnacentral:tRNA from 1 species